rnacentral:rRNA from 1 species
AGUCAUAUGCUUGUCUCAAAGAUUAAGCCAUGCAUGUCUCAGUACAAGCCUAAUUAAGGUGAAACCGCGAAAGGCUCAUUAAAUCAGUUAUGGUUCCUUAGAUCGUACCCACAUUUACUUGGAUAACUGUGGUAAUUCUAGAGCUAAUACAUGCAAACAGAGCUCCGACCGGAGACGGAAGGAGCGCUUUUAUUAGAUCAAAACCAAUCGGCGGCGGGCGCAAGCUCGUCGUCGUUCACUCUGGUGAAUCUGAAUAACUUUCUGCUGAUCGCACGGUCUAGCACCGGCGACGCAUCUUUCAAAUGUCUGCCUUAUCAACUGUCGAUGGUAGGUUCCGUGCCUACCAUGGUCGUAACGGGUAACGGGGAAUCAGGGUUCGAUUCCGGAGAGGGAGCCUGAGAAACGGCUACCACAUCCAAGGAAGGCAGCAGGCGCGCAAAUUACCCACUCCCGGCACGGGGAGGUAGUGACGAAAAAUAACGAUACGGGACUCAUCCGAGGCCCCGUAAUCGGAAUGAGUACACUCUAAACCCUUUAACGAGGAUCAAUUGGAGGGCAAGUCUGGUGCCAGCAGCCGCGGUAAUUCCAGCUCCAAUAGCGUAU